GUUUGGGAUAGCUCAGUUGGUAGAGCAUGAGACUCUUGAUCUCAGGGUGGUGGGUUUGAGCCCCGCGUUGGGCA